rnacentral:lncRNA from 1 species
AACAAACCUACUGUGCUGCCAGUUGUACAAAAGUAUAGCGCUGGAGAGACACAUGCUUCUCAUCCCAGUCACUGGGAGACAUGCAUCUCCCACGCCCCUACUCAGGGAUAUGGAUCCAUGUGGCAGAGGCACCUGGGGCCAGAGAGGCCAUUUCUAUGAGCUCAGGAAGAUGGUGCUGUGGUGAGCAGCAGAGACAGGGCCUCUCAAUAUUGAAGACCACUGGGAGAGUGAAGACGGAGCAGACUGUAGCAGCUGCAUUCCUGGCCACAUCACCACUGCUUUUCUUCUUGAUUCCGGACAUCCUGGGCUCUGACUGAGCACUGUACAGGGAGCAAACAGCAGCACAACUGUGACAGUGUCUGGCAGACACGUGAGCCACUUCUGUGAUUUCUUUGCAUCUAUCAAUGUUUGUAAUGUGAAGUCAGUUUGCAUCUGUGAACAUUUGCAGUUUGAACGUUUGUAAGUCAGGGACUUACUAUAUAACAGCAGCCUUACCCAGGAAUGCUGGAGUCUUUUCUUACUCAUCAACUCCCUGCUGUACCUGUUGUUGAAUGUUUUGAACAUCAUCCAUGGCUGAGAGGGCCAGUUCUUUGUUACCAGAGGUUGUAUGUCUGCCUGUGAUUCCUGGAACUGUGGUGGUCGUUUUUGGAACCAGUGGGAAGUUGAAAUGGACAUGCACACCAAGGAGGGCAGAGCCAAGAGGAUCAUUGGAG